rnacentral:rRNA from 1 species
AUUGAACGCUGGCGGCAUGCUUUACACAUGCAAGUCGAACGGUAACAGGGUGCUUGCACCGCUGACGAGUGGCGAACGGGUGAGUAAUGCGUCGGAACGUGCCGAGUAGUGGGGGAUAACGCAGCGAAAGUUGUGCUAAUACCGCAUACGUACUGAGGUAGAAAGUGGGGGACCUUCGGGCCUCACGCUAUUCGAGCGGCCGACGUCUGAUUAGCUAGUAGGUGAGGUAAAGGCUCACCUAGGCGACGAUCAGUAGCGGGUCUGAGAGGAUGAUCCGCCACACUGGGACUGAGACACGGCCCAGACUCCUGCGGGAGGAAGCAGUGGGGAAUUUUGGACAAUGGGCGAAAGCCUGAUCCAGCCAUGCCGCGUGUCUGAAGAAGGCCUUCGGGUUGUAAAGGACUUUUGUCAGGGAGGAAAUCCCUAGUGCUAAUAACACUGGGGGAUGACAGUACCUGAAGAAUAAGCACCGGCUAACUACGUGCCAGCCGCCGCCGUAA